rnacentral:rRNA from 1 species
CCAAUAGCGUAUAUUAAAGUUGUUGCAGUUAAAAAGCUCGUAGUUGAAUUUCGGGGUCAGUAGGUCGGUCGUGCCACUGGUAUGAACUGGUUUCACUGAUUCCUCCCUCUUGUAGAACCGUGAUGCCAUUAAUUUGGUGUUGCGGGGAAACAGGACUGUUACUUUGAAAAAAUUAGAGUGUUUAAAGCAAGCUAACGCUUGAAUACAUUAGCAUGGAAUAAUGAAAUAGGACGUCGAUCUUAUUUUGUUGGUUUCUAGGGUUGACGUAAUGAUUAAUAGGGAUAGUUGGGGGCACUAGUAUUCAAUUGUCAGAGGUGAAAUUCUUGGAUUUAUUGAAGACUAACUACUGCGAAAGCAUUUGCCAAGGAUGUUUUCAUUAAUCAAGAACGAAAGUUAGGGGAUCGAAGACGAUCAGAUACCGUCGUAGUCUUAACCAUAAACUAUGCCGACUAGGGAUCGGAUGAUGUUAAUUUUUUAAUGACUCAUUCGGCGCCUUACG